UACAGAGGGUGCAAGCGUUGUUCGGAAUUAUUGGGCGUAAAGCGCGUGUAGGCGGCUUUGCAAGUCGGGUGUGAAAGCCCUCAGCUCAACUGAGGAAGUGCGCCCGAAACUGCAGAGCUUGAGUACCGGAGAGGAUGGCGGAAUUCCCCAAGUAGAGGUGAAAUUCGUAGAUAUGGGGAGGAACACCGGUGGCGAAGGCGGCCAUCUGGACGGAUACUGACGCUGAGACGCGAAAGCGUGGGGAGCAAACAGG
rnacentral:rRNA from 1 species